UUGAGUACUGUUAGUUUACUAACCAAACAGAUAUCUUCCUUUGUGGAUAUGAUUGGAUAUAAAAAUAUACACAAACCCUUGUGCCAGAUUUCAAUAGAAAUGUAGAAAAACAAUAACUUUUUGUUUCAUGCAGUGGGCAAGCAAUUGCAACGCCCCAUUCUGAGGCUUCAAACAGCAAGUUCUCAAAUGGAAGUAGCCAAUGAGCUUAGUGUUAGUGUGACAUCAGCAGUUUCAACAGACAUAAAUAGAGACUGGAAUAGUGACAGAAAGGCUUUAAAAGUCAAGGUCCCUGAAAAUGCAUCGGUUGGUUCAUGGACCAAACAUUUUGUGGAUUUUGCCAUAUAUCUCCAUGUUGGAGAACAGCAAGUUGUACAAAAGUAUUGAACUCUUAACAGAUAUGACCUGGAAAGAUUAAUACUGCAUUUAUCAAUCUACGCUAUAUUGACAUGAAUAAUAUUUCCCUUGACAUGAAGUCCGCAUGGAUGUAGCUGAACCUGCAUACCUGAUGUCAUGUUGUUCUUUAUAUUGCACACUCGUUGGGAAAGAGUCAAUGGCGCCAUAACUGGUUGCAGCACCAUCAAUUUGAUUAAUUCUUAUUGAUUGAUAAAUCGAUAAUCAUGCCCAUCCCUCAUACCUGAGAUUACAAAGGACUCUCUCUGAAUGACUUAAGCAAGAGUUGGUAAUCAUCAAAAAGAUCUGGCAGUCAAUGGUUUGUGUAGACUUUUUAAAUCCACGAUAAAAUCAGCACUCUAUGUUUUGAGUGGUCUUCACUCAUGAGUGCAGGCUUUAUUUGUUGUUUUGAUUGUACGACAUUUAAAAAUGUUUGGUGGAAUCUCUUGACAUUUCAUUGUUUAAUUGGUACUAACUUAACAGUCUUAAAACGUUCUUCAAAUGUUUCAGUAGAAUAAAAUGCAAAGCAAUGGGAAUGCAGUGAUUCCCCCUCCAUUCAGUUCCACCCCUGCAAUAUGUCAAAUGUUUAAAGGUCUUUAAACACACUUGUAAAAUAACACACUUUUAAACAAGGCUAUGAAGACUGAGCAAGAUCAAUGAACAACACAAAUAUUGUACAAUGCAACGUGUACUCUCGACAACUCUCGGCGACGACCAUGUUGAUAAAGCUGCCGUAAUACCGUACAUUCUCAUUUCAAAGCCCAAAUAAAGGUGGCUUUUUUUUUAGUCAAACAUUGACAAAGUUGGCAUGCGUUGAAAUUGACCAUCAAAGUUUCUGCCUGCUCAAGCAUAUCGUACAACUGCGUCUAAACAUGGACUCAGUCCUUCUAUAUUGGUGAGUCGCUGAUCAGUCAUGAAUCUGGCUUCAUACUUAAUCCUGUUAUUUUGAGUUUUAUGGUUUUUUUUUUUUUUUUGCUAAGGUCAGUUCACUCCACACAUUUUUUUUAAUAAACUUACCUUGGAAUAGAAAUUAAACAGAAGGUUCAUCAAACAAACAAAAAACUUUCUAAUGACUUGUCAAAUGUCAUUUUUUGUAUGUCCCUGUCACCACACUGUCUACGUUUUCCAUACUAAUGUCACAUUUGUAUAAUUAUAGUUAUGUAAUUAUAAUAACAAACAAAAUAGAUUUGCAACGCUUCUCUUUUUGCUCCCAUUCUCAUGACUUGGACUUACAGAUGCAAGACUUUUUCUCUUGCUAACUCUAUUGGGGGGUUGGGACGCUGGGGGGUGUAAAUAAAAUAAAACGGAGCAUUUUACAGUGGCCUUUUAUGAUGUGCAGCCAUUGACACACUUGUGAAAUCAUUGUAAUUUUUUUUUGCACAAAGGAAAACCGUCUUUGAGCUCAGCUCAUGGGAAAUGGGAGCAAGAACAAAAGACUUGCAUUUGUGCAGUGCCUUUGCAAAAGUAUUAGACCCCUUGAACGUUUUAAGCUUUUGUCACAACAUAAAGAUUUAAAAAGUGGGAAUAUUUUGUGAAAAAUCAACACCAAAUGGGACACAAAUAACAAACUGAAAAGUAGGGUGUGCAAAAUUAUUCAUCCCCUUUUCUCUAAGUGCAGCCAGCUGACUCCAAAUGAUCUCUGAUGAUUUCUUAAUUAUCCAGUGUUGACCUAAAUGACUGUGGAUGAUAAAUAACAAGACUUCCUACUGUCGUGUCAUUAUAAAUGCACCUCAUCUUUGAUGAUCUCAGAGGUCUGUUAAAAGAAUAUUUGGCAGCAAACAGUAUCAUGAAGACCAAGGAACACACCGAGCAGGUCCAGGAUAAAACUGCGGAGAUGUGUAAAGCAGAAGUAGGACAUAAAUAGUUUUCACAAGCUUGAAAGAUUUCACGGAGCACUGUUUGAUCAAUCUUUUAUACCCCUUUCUCACUGAAAUUAGUGGGUAGUAGUGAUCCGUGGUGACACGCAACCAAUUGGCAUAUUGUCCCUUUCCCAUUGACCAACAGAAGGCGA